GCGGUUAAAAAGCUCGUAGUUGGAUUUCUGUCGAAAACAACCGGUCCGCUCUAUGAGCUGUAUCUGGUCUGGUUUUGGCAUCCUCGUGGGGAACAGCUCUGUGCUUGAUUGCAUGGACUGGUAUUCACGACUUUUACUUUGAGGAAAUUAGAGUGUUCACGGCAGGCAAGCGCCUUGAAUACAUUAGCAUGGAAUAAUAAUAUAGGACUUUGGUUCUAUUUUGUUGGUUUCUAGAACUAAAGUAAUGAUUAAUAGGGAUAAUUGG
rnacentral:rRNA from 1 species